rnacentral:rRNA from 1 species
GGUAUAGACCCGAAACCCGGUGAUCUAGCCAUGGGCAGGUUGAAGGUUGGGUAACACUAACUGGAGGACCGAACCGACUAAUGUUGAAAAAUUAGCGGAUGACUUGUGGCUGGGGGUGAAAGGCCAAUCAAACCGGGAGAUAGCUGGUUCUCCCCGAAAUCUAUUUAGGUAGAGCCUUGAGCGGACACCUUCGGGGGUAGAGCACUGUUUCGGCUAGGGGUCCAUCCCGGAUUACCAACCCGAUGCAAACUGCGAAUACCGAAGAGUGAUACUCAGGAGACACACGGCGGGUGCUAACGUUCGUCGUGGAGAGGGAAACAACCCAGACCGCCAGCUAAGGUCCCGAAGUCUAUAUUAAGUGGGAAACGAAGUGGGAAGGCUUAGACAGCUAGGAUGUUGGCUUAGAAGCAGCCAUCAUUUAAAGAAAGCGUAAUAGCUCACUAGUCGAGUCGGCCUGCGCGGAAGAUGUAACGGGGCUCAAAUAUAGCACCGAAGCUGCGGCAUCAGAAUUUAUUCUGUUGGGUAGGGGAGCGUUGUGUAAGCGGAUGAAGGUGGCUCGAGAGGGUUGCUGGACGUAUCACAAGUGCGAAUGCUGACAUAAGUAACGAUAAAACGAGUGAAAAACUCGUUCGCCGGAAGACCAAGGGUUCCUGUCCAACGUUAAUCGGGGCAGGGUGAGUCGGCCCCUAAGGCGAGGCUGAAAAGCGUAGUCGAUGGGAAACGGGUUAAUAUUCCCGUACUUGGAUAAACUGCGAUGUGGGGACGGAGAAGGUUAGGUUAGCAGACUGUUGGAUGUCUGUUUAAGGUGGUAGGUGGAAGACUUAGGCAAAUCCGGGUCUUUAUAAACACUGAGAGCUGAUGACGAGGUCUUAAGGGACUGAAGUAACUGAUACCCUGCUUCCAGGAAAAGCCACUAAGCUUCAGGUUUAUCUAAACCGUACUGAAAACCGACACAGGUGGUCAGGUAGAGAAUACUCAGGCGCUUGAGAGAACUCGGGUGAAGGAACUAGGCAAAAUAGCACCGUAACUUCGGGAGAAGGUGCGCUUACAGUAAUUGUAGUCCCUCGCGGAUGAAGGUGAAGUAAGUCGAAGAUACCAGCUGGCUGCAACUGUUUAUUAAAAACACAGCACUCUGCAAACACGAAAGUGGACGUAUAGGGUGUGAUGCCUGCCCGGUGCUGGAAGGUUAAUUGAUGGUGUUAUCGAAAGAGAAGCUCCUGAUCGAAGCCCCAGUAAACGGCGGCCGUAACUAUAACGGUCCUAAGGUAGCGAAAUUCCUUGUCGGGUAAGUUCCGACCUGCACGAAUGGCAUAAUGAUGGCCAGGCUGUCUCCACCCGAGACUCAGUGAAAUUGAAAUCGCCGUGAAGAUGCGGUGUACCCGCGGCUAGACGGAAAGACCCCGUGAACCUUUACUAUAGCUUGACACUGAACAUUGAAUUUUGAUGUGUAGGAUAGGUGGGAGCCUUUGAAGCAGUGACGCCAGUCAUUGUGGAGGCGACCUUGAAAUACCACCCUUUAACGUUUGAUGUUCUAACGAAGUGCCUGAAACGGGUACUCGGACAGUGUCUGGUGGGUAGUUUGACUGGGGCGGUCUCCUCCCAAAGCGUAACGGAGGAGCACGAAGGUUUGCUAAUGACGGUCGGACAUCGUCAGGUUAGUGCAAUGGUAUAAGCAAGCUUAACUGCGAGACAGACAAGUCGAGCAGGUGCGAAAGCAGGUCAUAGUGAUCCGGUGGUUCUGAAUGGAAGGGCCAUCGCUCAACGGAUAAAAGGUACUCCGGGGAUAACAGGCUGAUACCGCCCAAGAGUUCAUAUCGACGGCGGUGUUUGGCACCUCGAUGUCGGCUCAUCACAUCCUGGGGCUGAAGUAGGUCCCAAGGGUAUGGCUGUUCGCCAUUUAAAGUGGUACGCGAGCUGGGUUUAGAACGUCGUGAGACAGUUCGGUCCCUAUCUGCCGUGGGCGUUGGAUGAUUGAUUGGGGCUGCUCCUAGUACGAGAGGACCGGAGUGGACGCAUCACUGGUGUUCCAGUUGUCUCGCCAGAGGCAUUGCUGGGUAGCUAAAUGCGGAAGAGAUAAGUGCUGAAAGCAUCUAAGCACGAAACUUGCCAAGAGAUGAGUCAUCCCUGACUUUAAGUCAGUAAGGGUUGUUGUAGACUACGACGUAGAUAGGUUGGGUGUGUAAGUGUAGUGAUACAUUGAGCUAACCAAUACUAAUUGCCCGAGAGGCUUAACCAUACAACGCUCAAG